rnacentral:lncRNA from 1 species
AACCCGAUUUUUCGCUUCAACCACAGGGCUGGGCGGCUUGUUCCCCACCCCCACCACCCUCUGUGUACAGGAGAGCCUCCUGUCCUGACUGGAGGAGCUCACCCAGCUGCGUCUGCUCCUUCUUCUCUCCAGGCGCCUCGAAGGUCUACACCUCGGUGGGCGGGAGGGUGUUCCUGCGCUGUGGGGACCCCCAGGUCGCCAUGGAGACCGUGCGGGCCAGGUGGGGGUUCGUCGCCGGGGGGAGCUGCGCUCUGGCCGCGCCGCUGGGCCCCGAGAGCCGGCGGGACGUGAAGGCGGACGGUACGCUGGUGAUCCGGGACGUCCGGCCCGGGGACGUGGGGCGGUACUGCUGUGGGGCCGGCUCCGGGCCCGGGACCGACCUGCUGCUGCUGUCCGUGUCGGCAGACCCCUCGGACCCCGCCCCCGAGGACAUAGCGGUCGUGACCUGCGAGCUGAGGUGCCCGGCGGCCUGCGGCCCCUACGCCCUGACCAUGAACGUCUCCGGCCGGGCGGAGCUCCUCUCCGCUCGCGGGGAACCCCUGCAGCACGUCCUGAGCCCCGGCGGGGCGGGCCGGGGGCGGGACUUCCGGUGCCAGCUGGAGGUCGAGGGGAGGGUCCGGGCCACCGCCUCCCUGGCGCUGCAGGCGCAGAACCGGACAGGUAACCGGGCACCGCCAUUAUGGGCAUGUCUGGUGGUGUCAUACCACUCCCACUGUGGGGGGGCGGGGCCUGGCCCAGAGCCACUCCCACUGAGGGGGGCGGGGCCUGGCCCAGAGCCACUCCCACUAUGGGGGGCGGGGCCUGGACCAGAGCCACUCCCACUGUGGGGGGCGGGGCCUGGCCCAGAGCCACUCCCACUGCGGGGGCGGGGCCUGGGCCGGAGCCACUCCCACUGUGGGGGGCGGGACCUGGGCCAGAGCCACUCCCACUGUGCAGGGGCAGGCCUGGCCUGGCCCAGAGCCACUCCCACUGUGGGGGUGGGCCUGGUCUAGAGCCACUCCACUCCAACCCACUGUGGGGGCGGGGCCUGGCCCAUAGCCGCUCCCACUGUGGGGGGCGGGGCCUGGUCUGGCCCAGAGCCACUCCCAUUGUGGGGGGCGGGGCCUGGCCCAGAGCCACUCCCACUGUGAGCCUGUCUGAUGCAGAGUCACCUCUCCCUGUGGGUAUCCCUGGUACGACAUCAUCCCUACUGUGGAAUGAAUGCCCGGCUUGGUCAGAUCGUGGCGUCGCAUUCGUUGUGCGAGGUCA